AGCACUUGGCUUUGGCCCCAUAUAAGACCCAACAUACAAGUGGAAUUGCUAUGCUGAGGAGAAAUAAAGGUUCUGGGAAUGCAAGAAGAUCAGACCCAAAUUUUUAUUGUCUAUGGACAAAACAACAGCACUGCUAGAAGAAUGGAACAUAUGGCCCUUGUCUUACUGAGAAAAAUCAGGUCAAAGCCAAGUCCAUGCUAUCCCACAGCAGGUGCACCAUGUUGGACACUGGGAGAAAAAAUAAAAUAAAAUUAAAAAAAAAAAAAAAAAGAAAGAAAGAAGAAAAAAAAAGAGUUUUACAUGCUGCUGAUUCCAAAGUGGAAUCAUACAUAUCAGAAAAAAGAAGUUGUGUCUACUUGGGGAUGUUGUGCCAUUGUAAUGGCAGCAGAUGAAGGUCAAGCUUUCACUCCUGAGGCAUGAUCUUCCCUAGGGCAGUAGAAGUGUGUUAGCAGCAAUUGCCUGGCAUGCAACUGAGUCAGAGCCAUGCCUUUAGCUUGGAUCAGCCUUCCUGCUCAGUAGAUUUGCCUUCAGAUUCAGUGGAAAGGAGCUGCAUGCCAAGGGCAGUGAGUCUGGUUAAUCAAGAUAUGUUCCAUGGACAGGACUUCUUUCAGCCCUCCUCUUCAGCUGCAGCUCAACUGGAAGGCCAAAUCCUCUUCAUCCUAAUGGCUUUAUCAGAAAAUAAGGAUGUAAAGUUGGACCAGUGGCACAAUUAGACGCUGAAUUUGCAACUCACUCUAACAGUGUAUGACUUUCCGUAGAAGAAUACUGAUUUGAAACUGAAGAUCAAGAUUUGAGCCAAUGGAUGUCAGAUAUGGAAUUUAUUGGAAAACAUGGAAAAAG
rnacentral:lncRNA from 1 species